rnacentral:rRNA from 1 species
UACGAAGGGGGCUAGCGUUGCUCGGAAUCACUGGGCGUAAAGGGUGCGUAGGCGGAUCUUUAAGUCAGGGGUGAAAUCCUGGAGCUCAACUCCAGAACUGCCUUUGAUACUGCGAUCUGAGUCGGGAGAGGUGAGUGGAACUGCGAGUGUAGAGGUGAAAUUCGUAGAUAUUCGCAAGAACACCAGUGGCGAAGGCGGCAUCCUGGACCGACAUUGACGCUGAGGAGCGAAAGCUAGGGGAGCAAACGGG